rnacentral:lncRNA from 1 species
AAGGCAAUGGCAGAAGUCUGGAAAUUGAAAUAUUCUCUUGGAUUAUUCUUUCAAAAAUUUGUUAAUCUAACGAGUUAGGAUACUAUGUGCAAUUGAUCUUUCCUAUCUUUAAUUCAUGAGAUACUAAUUGACCUGCAGGUCCUUAUGAAAUGAAAUGAAAUGUGAGAUCUCAUUCGAGUUUUCUCAAAUGUGUUAAAGUAUUCGAUUAAUCAUCGAUUGCUCUUGAUAAAAAUGUUGGUAUGGAAUGUUAUAAAUUCACGUUUUAAAAGUUAUUAUAUUGUUAUAUCCUACUGAGUAUUAAUUACUCACUCCUUUAAUUUUAACAUUUCAGGUAGGACGGUCGACGUGGAUGGUGGCUGAGCAGUGCGCAGGCUACCAAGUAAAAUAAAAAAAAAAAAUUUGGACAACCUUCAAGAAUAAAUUUGUUAGAGUAUUUUGUGUUUCUUUUUUAUUUCCAUCAAAUUUUCUAAACUUUAUGACAGUAUGCUUAUUUAAUUCAGUAUCUGAG